rnacentral:rRNA from 1 species
GAUGAGCCCGCGUUGGAUUAGCUAGUUGGUGGGGUAAAGGCCUACCAAGGCGACGAUCCAUAGCUGGUCUGAGAGGAUGAUCAGCCACAUUGGGACUGAGACACGGCCCAAACUCCUACGGGAGGCAGCAGUGGGGAAUAUUGGACAAUGGGCGCAAGCCUGAUCCAGCCAUGCCGCGUGAGUGAUGAAGGUCUUAGGAUUGUAAAGCUCUUUCACCGGGGACGAUAAUGACGGUACCCGGAGAAGAAGCCCCGGCUAACUUCGUGCCAGCAGCCGCGGUAAUACGAAGGGGGCUAGCGUUGUUCGGAAUUACUGGGCGUAAAGCGCACGUAGGCGGAUAUUUAAGUCAGGGGUGAAAUCCCGGGGCUCAACCCCGGAACUGCCUUUGAUACUGGGUAUCUUGAGUGUGGUAGAGGUGAGUGGAAUUGCGAGUGUAGAGGUGAAAUUCGUAGAUACUGGGAAGAACACCGGUGGCGAAGGCGGCAACCUGGCUCAUUACUGACGCUGAGGCGCGAAAGCGUGGGGAGCAAACAGGAUUAGAUACCCUGGUAGUCCACGCU